rnacentral:tRNA from 1 species
ACUUUAAUAGCUUAUUUAGAGCUUGAUAUUGAAGAUAUCACGGAGAUUAAUUAUCUUGAAGUA